rnacentral:rRNA from 1 species
UGGGGAAUAUUGGACAAUGGGGGCAACCCUGAUCCAGCAAUGCCGCGUGUGUGAAGAAGGUCUUCGGAUUGUAAAGCACUUUCGACGGGGACGAUGAUGACGGUACCCGUAGAAGAAGCCCCGGCUAACUUCGUGCCAGCAGCCGCGGUAAUACGAAGGGGGCUAGCGUUGCUCGGAAUGACUGGGCGUAAAGGGCGUGUAGGCGGUUUACACAGUCAGAUGUGAAAUCCCCGGGCUUAACCUGGGAGCUGCAUUUGAUACGUGUAGACUAGAGUGUNAGAGAGGUGUGGAAUUCCCAGUGUAGAGGUGAAAUUCG